rnacentral:lncRNA from 1 species
GGGCUGCCCAGUGCACACGCUGCUCCCAGAAGACCCUGAUUUUCUCACCAGGCAUUUGCUGUGGGUGUGAGAUGAGAAGACCACACGGACACCAGCUGUGGCAUCGGCCUUCCUUCCCACCAGGGAGGAGCACCCCAGUCCCUCACCAGCAUCCUCCCUGACAGAAAACAAUGUGUAUUGAAGAUACAAGAAGUCACACUAAUAGGAAUCCUGUAUGGCAAAUGACUCCACAGAGGAUAAAAGUUUCAGCUUGAAGUUUGCUUGCUUUGAUAUAAAUCAUUGCAACGUUGCAUCACCAUGGAGCAAAAUCACACAACGCGUAAUGGAAGAAGCUGAUAACCUAGGCUUUGGCUGAUGAUUAUUCUUUGCCUUGGUAAAGGAAGGUAGACUGAAACUUAAAACUCCCCAGCAUACGAUCAUCAGGCU